GGCUCGCACACCAGAUCCCCUGCUCUGCCGCCGUCUCACCGCGGAUCCUCCGACCAACGAGGUCUCUCCGCUCCCCGACCACCCCGGCCAUCGACGUGAUCUCGCAGCUCCACCUCACGAGCCCGCUCUAUCCGCCUCGCACCUCCAGCUCCGACACACAUCGGUGGACCGCAGCGCCAUCGUUCCUCACUCGAGCCUCCCCGCCGAGCAGCAUGGCUACCAUCCACUCCACCAACGCUACCCCGCCUGAUUCUGCCGAGUUUUCUCAGUCGCUAGGCUAUCCCAUCUACUGAAUCGGCUCCAUCCCCAUUGAUUUGGAUCGGCCAGCCGGAGUAUUGGCCUUUGGAUUUCUAAAUUGCGGCCCUAUUUUGAAGCUCCCCAAUCCUGAAUCAAAGGUGACACUCAACAAUGACUAAAAAGGAGUCAAUCAUGCUACAGAGUUGAUAUUCAGCUGAUUUCUCUACAACCUGGUGUGUUGUAAUUAUGUCGACUGCAAUAUAGCGGAGAUCGUGAUUGCCUUGUUGAUGAUGACAAGCUCACAGUGCAUGUGAGAUGGUCCGUUCAACGUCCUCUGUGAUGCUGGCUAGAGGGAUG